CCUACGGGGGGCAGCAGUGGGGAAUAUUGGGCAAUGGGCGCAAGCCUGACCCAGCAACGCCGCGUGAAGGAUGAAGGCUUUCGGGUUGUAAACUUCUUUUCUCAGGGACGAAGAAAGUGACGGUACCUGAGGAAUAAGCCACGGCUAACUACGUGCCAGCAGCCGCUGUAAUACGGAGGUGGCAAGCGUUAUCCGGAUUUACUGGGUGUAAAGGUCGUGUAGGCGGGGAAGCAAGUCAGAUGUGAAAACCACGGGCUCAACCUGUGGCCUGCAUUUGAAACUGUUUUUCUUGAGUACUGGAGAGGCAGACGGAAUUCCUAGUGUAGCGGUGAAAUGCGUAGAUAUUAGGAGGAACACCAGUGGCGAAGGCGGUCUGCUGGACGGCAACUGACGCUGAGGCGCGAAAGCGUGGGGAGCAAACAGGAUUAGAUACCCUAGUAGUC
rnacentral:rRNA from 1 species